GAUUGAACCGAAAUCAAAGAAGAGAAGAGGGUUUUUAAGUGAUUUCCCAUGGAUUUGAUGGCUAGGGCUUGAAGAUUUGGGAAAAACUGAGAAUGACCCAUGAGAAAGAUAGAUUUGGGAAGAAUAAGUUUUGGUUUGGAGGGAUUUUGAGGUUUUUUUUUGGAGAGCAAGGAUGUGGAUUCUUGAUUGGGACGAGAGGGAG
rnacentral:lncRNA from 1 species